AAACUGUCUGUAUUUUGUCUCUUGUCCCUGACCAUUUCUGAGAUGCGAUACCCUGGAUGAAGAUUUUUCUGGACACUGAGUUGUUCUUGGAGAUGAUCAGGCAGUCUGCACCCUGGAAGUGUAAUCUAACUGCUAAGGAGAUAUUAUCUUCGUCCAGUUAAUCCUCAAUUUGCUGUUGCGCUGCAGACUAUCUGAACAGAAUUCAUGAUUUGUGCUUUCAAACAUCUGAGCUGAGAAGAGGAGCCUUUGCAAGUUUUAGUACAUGUGUUUUACCAUCCAUAUUCAUGAAGAAAAUCAGCAUGUAUAGGUCUCCCAUACCCGGUGAUGUACAGUAGUGCUGGAUAGCUCUGGAGAGCAGUUCUGGCUGGCAAAGAAAGCAGCAAGGAUUGCUAGGAACCAUCUCGCCAUUCAAAGCUGAAAGUUGGCUGCAGAGUAGAUUUUGGUUUUCCCCAUGGAUGCUGAAAGAGAAGGGAAGAAUCAUUUCUGACAAUUCUGCAUGGCUUCUGCAUUGCAACUGGAUGUAGAAUCUGCUCCUGUUUGCAUCCAUGUUCCCAGGAUGAAUUUUUAUUGACAGAAGAAAAGGUAGCUGCCUCACCAGCCCAAGGAGAUGGUGCCAUAUUGAAGACUCAAUUUUGGUUUAUUUGGCUGGAAGAAGGGACACUCAGCAAUGUAGGAAACCAAUACAUCUUCCAAUCUGAUGGGAUCUUCAAACUCAUAAGAUUUUCCUAAAUGCUGACUGGAGGGUUUGAGCUGAUAUCCAUGGAACGAGAAUGAUUAUUCGUUUUUUGUGUUUUUUUGGUGCCAGGGAUUGAACUCGGGACCUUGAGCUUGCAAGGCAGGCACUGGAACCACUGAGCUAAAUCCCCGACCUGAGAAUGAUUAUUUGUAAUGCAGACCAUUUUCUUGCCUCCAGCCCAUAGAAAACUGUAUUUUGAGAAUGAUUUGAACUGUAAGAUAAAACUUUACAAUCC
rnacentral:lncRNA from 1 species